GCACCGGCUAACUCCGUGCCAGCAGCCGCGGUAAUACGGAGGGUGCGAGCGUUAAUCGGAAUAACUGGGCGUAAAGGGCACGCAGGCGGCUAUUUAAGUGAGGUGUGAAAUCCCCGGGCUUAACCUGGGAAUUGCAUUUCAGACUGGGUAGCUAGAGUACUUUAGGGAGGGGUAGAAUUCCACGUGUAGCGGUGAAAUGCGUAGAGAUGUGGAGGAAUACCGAAGGCGAAGGCAGCCCCUUGGGAAUGUACUGACGCUCAUGUGCGAAAGCGUGGGGAGCAAACAGGAUUAGAUACCCUGGUAGUCCACGCUGUAAACGCUGUCGAUUUGGGGAUUGGGCUUUAAGCUUGGUGCCCGUAGCUAACGUGAUAAAUCGACCGCCUGGGGAGUACGGCCGCAAGGUUAAAACUCAAAUGAAUUGACGGGGGCCCGCACAAGCGGUGGAGCAUGUGGUUUAAUUCGAUGCAACGCGAAGAACCUUACCUACUCUUGACAUCCAUGGAAUCUUGUAGAGAUACGGGAGUGCCUUCGGGAACCAUGAGACAGGUGCUGCAUGGCUGUCGUCAGCUCGUGUUGUGAAAUGUUGGGUUAAGUCCCGCAACGAGCGCAACCCUUAUCCUUUGUUGCCAGCGAUUUGGUCGGGAACUCAAAGGAGACUGCCGGUGAUAAACCGGAGGAAGGUGGGGAUGACGUCAAGUCAUGGC
rnacentral:rRNA from 1 species